AAAAUGUUUAUUUUUCUGGCUUGAGAGAUUUCUCGAAGGCCAUGUCCCUGCUGCAUUCAGUUGUGAAAGAUGAGCAGCAGCCUCCAGGCAUAGCAGGUAUUAUUGGAGAGACGCCCUUUUGUAUGCGAGCUGCAAAGACUCAUGGGUUGAUAGAAGAGUUGCGUAAUUGUUCAGUAUUUAAUUCUCCCUGGAAUGGCUCAAAGAGGGAGCUAUGUGUGAACUGAACUUGUGGAUAAAUAAGCCUGGCACAGAGCUCCACACCAUCUGCAGACAUUGCAGAAAUGAGCAGGGGAAGCCAACGAGCUGUGAGUGACAGAGAUUAAUCUUCAAAGUCACAAAGGCAUGUAGUUCCGUUUGGAAUUCAGGCAACACUGGAGAGCGUCACAGCCUCGGAACAUUUCUUUGAGGCAAUGAAGACAUUUAUCAGCCAUAAAUCUCAGGUGACUUUGUGUCCUGGAAUCCUUCAUAGGGUGGAAUCAAAAAGAACCCAGAAGAAAAACACUGCCUUUUAAAAGACCUGAUAAUCUAUCGAGGGAAGUGCACAAGAACAAAUACCUUGUACAUCAGAAGAAGUGCUGUAAAGUGGAUUGAACAAAGCACCACGAACAUGUGGAAUUUGCCCCCUUUUCCAAGUUGAUAGAGAAGAUUGACUACUCAUUUUAGUUUCUGAUGCACAUUCUUCUGAAAGUAAACAAGCGUAGUCUGCUUAGACUGUGGUUACUAUUAUUACUUGUCAUCUUCAGAUAUGGGCAGGACAUUCUGAAUAGAUGAUGUUAUGGAAGGCAAGAAGAUUUUCCUAUGCUCCUACACAAUGUGGCUAAGAGUGUGGGAAAAUGGGCACUCAUAUUUUGUGGGUGGUGGGUGUAUCAGAGGAUGUCAGUAGAAGCAAUUUGGUAAUAUGCCCCCGUGAAGGCUUUCUGCAUCUUGAUUGCUACUGAAUCCUUAAUGCCUAAAAUUCUACUGGAAUAAAUGCAUAAAUUAAUAAAUGCAAAAAUCCUUAAAAUUUUGCAUAGGCUUUGAUGCACAAAUUUUAAUGAUAAGAGUUAGAAAUCAAAUAAACCUAGUAUUAAGAUUUAGCUGUAAGAGUAUUAUCUUAUUAUUUGUAAUACUAAAAGCUCAAAAUGGCUCAUUUGGGUUUAUCAGUAUGAUUGAGCAAAAAUUGCAUAGCAUCCCUACUAUGGAGUAUUAGGCAACCACGAGUGAUGAUGUCGUGCAAGAAUAU
rnacentral:lncRNA from 1 species